rnacentral:rRNA from 1 species
UACGGAGGGUGCGAACGUUAAUCGGAAUUACUGGGCGUAAAGCGCACGUAGGCGGCUUGGUAUGUCGGGUGUGAAAUCCCCGGGCUCAACCUGGGAACUGCAUCCGAAACUGCCUUGCUCGAGUAUGGGAGAGGGAAGUGGAAUUUCCGGUGUAGCGGUGAAAUGCGUAGAUAUCGGAAGGAACAUCAGUGGCGAAGGCGACUUCCUGGACCAAUACUGACGCUCAGGUGCGAAAGCAUGGGGAGCGAACAGG